GCCCCGGUAGCUCAACUGGCAGAGCGACCGCCUUAUACGCGGGAAGCACCGGACCGGUGCAAGGUUGAAGGUUCAAAUCCUUCCCGGGGCACCA
rnacentral:tRNA from 1 species